AGAUAGAGAUUUGUAUUUUACGAGUCUAUGAUGGUAGGUAUAACAAUAACAAUAAAAUGGCACGAAGGACUUAAACAAAUUGAAUAACAGUGGCCUCGAUGAAGUCAGAAUAAUGACUGCAAGGCCUAUAGGAACUCUAAACUCUAUAAUGAACACAUAGCAUCUAGAAAAUCCCCCAAGUUCUGAGUAAAAACUAAUUUAAAAAUUCGAGUAUUAAGUCAAUUGUACGUACUACCUUCAUAUAAAGAUGCUUGGCAGUAUGUUAAUUUCUUUAAAGAGUCUGUAGUAGAUACAAACUAAACAUCUUAGAGCAAACUAUAUGAAUAAGUAAAUCAAGAAAUACAAUUUUAACUAAAAUUAUUGCUUCUAUCUAAAAAAAGAAACUGAAUAGACCCUUUAAUUAAUAUAUUAUGUGGCUAUUCUCCCAAUAAUAAAUGAUUUUUAACCAUCAAAUGAACUGACAAAUGAAAUCCUGAGAAAAAUUAUGGAAUUAUUAAAAUGCCAAAUAACGUCUUCUGGGAACAAACAUGAUAAUAUUCUCUUUUUCCCUCCCGCGUGAAAGAAGAAUAAGCAGGUGCAAGAAUUAAAACCCAGAGAUACAAAUGCAGAAUGAAAGAGGAGAAUGGAAAAGAAACAAACACAGCAGUUGAUAAAUUCCAGAGCAGAAUCCUUUGCAACUUGGCUGGCUGUCAUGCUCUUCAUCCCAAUGAUCAUGGACAAACCUAAAGGAUAGAGUCAUGAAAGUAACACUGCCAAGACUUACUGCAGCUGAUGGAAGGUGUGAAUACUUCCUAGUGAGACUUCAAUCACUUGCUUUCCUGACACUUUCAAGUCUUCAAAGAUUCCUGCCAGUUGGUAAGUCCUCUUCCUUGCUCACAAGACAAGAACUGAUGACCCAGAGCUUUCACUUGUGCUUGUUGUUAGCUACUUAUUCUGGGAAGUUGAGUCAUUUAAUUCUUUUGAGUGAUCGAUAAAGGGUGUCUCACAAGGGGAGCUGCAGAAUAGAGGGGGGCUGGGUGGAGGAAGACAACUUUUUAAAGACAGGCAGUGUGGUGGGGUAAGACAGAACAGUGAACUGGGCUGCAGAAAUGGGUUCUAAGUUCUUGACUGUGGACCAACCAAGUCAGGUCAAGGAGACAAGCUAACCCGGCAGGAUUUUAGUUUGCCCUAACAUGAGAAGGUUAGAGAGAAUUAUUGUUAAAUUCCUUUUCAGCACUUAGAUUUACAAUAAGGAAGAGUAUUAUAAUUUACCAAAACUAUGGCCCAAGUAUGUAUGUGUAUUUUUUCACUUUAGCAGAGAAAACAUCAGGUUGGGUGGCUGAGGGUGAACCCUUUUUCAUGGUGCUGAGUUUUCUUUUUGAGUGAAAUUGUAUGGCUAGAACCCACUUUAAGAACAUGGCUGGUUUCUGAAGACUGCUUUUAGUUGUGACUUCCUCUGUAUAUUCAUUAGACUCUGCAUGGAGAACAUUCUCCAACCAAGAGAAAGACGAAACACGGGGUGUUGAGCACCAGCGGUGCGUGUAAGUGACUUGUCCGCAGUGAAGUUAAAAGGUGGUCCAGUGAACUCUUGCUCUUCGUUCUUAUGGAAUCAUUUCUCUUCCUCACAAGGUAAGAGUCACCAUUCAGAAGCCUCUUCCAUCUGACACUGGUCUCCUUUGCAAAGGUAAGGAACUGGAUGUAGUGUAAUUUGCUGAGGUUGGAGGACCUUGCUUUUAUUUUUAAUUAAAACAUUUUUAUUUUAUAUCGGGGUAUAGUUAGUUGAUUAAUAAUGAUGUGUUAGUUAUGGGUGUACAGCAAAGUGAUUCCGUUAUAACCAUUCAAGUAUCCAUUCUUUUUCAAAUUUUUUUCCCUUUUACGUUAUUACAGAAUA